UAGGGAAUCUUCGGCAAUGGACGAAAGUCUGACCGAGCAACGCCGCGUGAGUGAAGAAGGUUUUCGGAUCGUAAAACUCUGUUGUUAGAGAAGAACAUGGACGUUAGUAACUGAACGUCCCCUGACGGUAUCUAACCAGAAAGCCACGGCUAACUACGUGCCAGCAGCCGCGGUAAUACGUAGGUGGCAAGCGUUGUCCGGAUUUAUUGGGCGUAAAGCGAGCGCAGGCGGUUUCUUAAGUCUGAUGUGAAAGCCCCCGGCUCAACCGGGGAGGGUCAUUGGAAACUGGGAGACUUGAGUGCAGAAGAGGAGAGUGGAAUUCCAUGUGUAGCGGUGAAAUGCGUAGAUAUAUGGAGGAACACCAGUGGCGAAGGCGGCUCUCUGGUCUGUAACUGACGCUGAGGCUCGAAAGCGUGGGGAGCAAACAGG
rnacentral:rRNA from 1 species